AUUGAACGCUGGCGGCAUGCCUUACACAUGCAAGUCGAACGGUAACGCGGGGCAACCUGGCGACGAGUGGCGAACGGGUGAGUAAUGCAUCGGAACGUGCCCAGUAGUGGGGGAUAGCCCGGCGAAAGCCGGAUUAAUACCGCAUACGACCUACGGGUGAAAGCGGGGGAUCGCAAGACCUCGCGCUAUUGGAGCGGCCGAUGUCAGAUUAGGUAGUUGGUGAGGUAAAGGCUCAACAAGCCUUCGAUCUGUAGCUGGUCUGAGAGGACGACCAGCCACACUGGGACUGAGACACGGCCCAGACUCCUACGGGAGGCAGCAGUGGGGAAUUUUGGACAAUGGGCGCAAGCCUGAUCCAGCCAUGCCGCGUGCGGGAAGAAGGCCUUC
rnacentral:rRNA from 1 species